CCCCCCCCCCCCCCCUUCCUCUCUCUCUCCCUCUCUCCAUAGGCCAUCUCAUCCAAAGAGUCAAAAGAGGAAGAGGCAUAUUUCAGGUUUGUGCGUGAAUCUAAUAUAGACAUUUUUCUUUCCACAAAAGAUCGUAAAAUUCUCUCUAGGAUCUUGUUAGAUUCACGCACAAACUCGUAAUCUGCCUUUUCGAUUAUCCUCGUCUCUCUUCUUCCUUGAAACGGGUUUUAAGUCGCAGUGAAUUGGAUCAAUGACGGAUGCAAUCUUGGGUUAGAAGGAAAUCAAAGGUGUAAAUAUGAUCGUGAAGGGACCUUCCUGAAGAAUCCGAAUUACAUGUAGAAUUUCCAUAUACGUAUUUGUAUUUCACAUGUUUUAGACUAUACGGAUGAUGUAAAUGCCUGUGUUGGAUAAUGCCAAAGCUGGAAGAAGAAUAUGUAGAAAGUCUGUCAAUUUAGUUAGUUAUCCUUAUUGUAAUAAUACUUUUUCUUUAAAAUACGUAUAAUGCAGCGAAAAAAAUCCACAUA